UACGGGAGGCAGCAGUGGGGAAUAUUGCACAAUGGGCGCAAGCCUGAUGCAGCCAUGCCGCGUGUAUGAAAAAGGCCUUCGGGUUGUAAAGUACUUUCAGUCGUGAGGAAGGUGUUAAGGUUAAUAACCUUAGCAAUUGACGUUAGCGACAGAAGAAGCACCGGCUAACUCCGUGCCAGCAGCCGCGGUAAUACGGAGGGUGCGAGCGUUAAUCGGAAUUACUGGGCGUAAAGGGCACGCAGGCGGUUAAUUAAGUUGGAUGUGAAAUCCCCGGGCUUAACCUGGGAAUGGCAUUCAAGACUGGUUAGCUAGAGUCUUGUAGAGGGGGGUAGAAUUCCAUGUGUAGCGGUGAAAUGCGUAGAGAUGUGGAGGAAUACCGGUGGCGAAGGCGGCCCCUGGACAAAGACUGACGCUCAUGUGCGAAAGCGUGGGGAGCAAACAGGGAUUAGAUA
rnacentral:rRNA from 1 species